UGCCGGCGUGGCGGAACUGGCAGACGCGCAGGACUUAAAAUCCUGUGGUGGCGACAUCGUACCGGUUCGAUUCCGGUCGCCGGCAU
rnacentral:tRNA from 2 species